UGGUCAAGUUAUUAAGGGUGCAGGGCGGAUGCCUUGGCACUAGGAGCCGAUGAAGGACGUGAUAAGCU
rnacentral:rRNA from 1 species